rnacentral:rRNA from 1 species
UACGAAGGGGCUAGCGUUGUUCGGAAUCACUGGGCGUAAAGCGCACGUAGGCGGAUCUUUAAGUCAGGGGUGAAAUCCUGGAGCUCAACUCCAGAACUGCCUUUGAUACUGGGGAUCUCGAGUUCGGGAGAGGUGAGUGGAACUGCGAGUGUAGAGGUGAAAUUCGUAGAUAUUCGCAAGAACACCAGUGGCGAAGGCGGACUCACUGGCCCGGAACUGACGCUGAGGUGCGAAAGCGUGGGAGCAACA